rnacentral:rRNA from 1 species
UACGUAGGGUGCGAGCGUUGUCCGGAAUUAUUGGGCGUAAAGAGCUCGUAGGCGGCUUGUCGCGUCGGGAUCGUGAAAGCCCGGGGCUUAACUCCGGGUCUGCAUUCGAUACGGGCAGGCUAGAGUUCGGUAGGGGAGAUCGGAAUUCCUGGUGUAGCGGUGAAAUGCGCAGAUAUCAGGAGGAACACCGGUGGCGAAGGCGGAUCUCUGGGCCGAUACUGACGCUGAGGAGCGAAAGCGUGGGGAGCGAACAGG